CUGGCGGCGUGCCUAACACAUGCAAGUCGAACGGGAAAGUGGAGCAAUCCAUGAGUAUAGUGGCGACCGGGUGAGUAACACGUGACUAACCUGCCCUUGAGUGGGGGAUAACCUCGGGAAACCGGGGCUAAUACCGCAUAACAUCUUCAGGAUGAGAAGCUGGGGAUCAAAGGAGCAAUCCGCUUAUGGAGGGGGUCGCGGCUGAUUAGCUAGUUGGCGGGGUAACGGCCCACCAAGGCGAUGAUCGGUAUCCGGCCUGAGAGGGCGCACGGACACACUGGAACUGAAACACGGUCCAGACUCCUACGGGAGGCAGCAGUGGGGAAUUUUGCGCAAUGGGGGAAACCCUGACGCAGCAACGCCGCGUGGAGGAUGAAGUCCCCUGGGACGUAAACUCCUUUCGACCGGGACGAUUAUGACGGUACCGGUGGAAGAAGCCCCGGCUAACUUCGUGCCAGCAGCCGCGGUAAUACGAGGGGGGCGAGCGUUGUUCGGAAUUAUUGGGCGUAAAGGGCGCGUAUGCGGUGCGGUAAGUCACCUGUGAAACCUCUGGGCUCAACUCAGAGCCUGCAGGCGAAACUGCCGUGCUG
rnacentral:rRNA from 1 species